rnacentral:rRNA from 1 species
CCUACGGGAGGCAGCAGUGAGGAAUAUUGGUCAAUGGACGAGAGUCUGAACCAGCCAAGUAGCGUGAAGGAUGACUGCCCUAUGGGUUGUAAACUUCUUUUAUAUGGGAAUAAAACGUUCCACGUGUGGGAUUUUGUAUGUACCAUAUGAAUAAGGAUCGGCUAACUCCGUGCCAGCAGCCGCGGUAAUACGGAGGAUCCGAGCGUUAUCCGGAUUUAUUGGGUUUAAAGGGAGCGUAGGUGGAUUGUUAAGUCAGUUGUGAAAGUUUGCGGCUCAACCGUAAAAUUGCAGUUGAAACUGGCAGUCUUGAGUACAGUAGAGGUGGGCGGAAUUCGUGGUGUAGCGGUGAAAUGCUUAGAUAUCACGAAGAACUCCGAUUGCGAAGGCAGUUCACUGGACUUCAACUGACACUGAGGCUCGAAAGUGUGGGUAUCAAACAGGAUUAGAUACCCCAGUAGUC